ensembl:lncRNA novel transcript
GGGGCCGCCCCUUAGAAAGCCGGAAGGCCGGAGUCGCGCCCGUCACCGUGCCGCCGCCUCUGCCGCGGCCUCAGCCUUCGGGGGCCUCGGUGUCCGGUUGUUCCCGUUGCACUGCCGUGUCCCGUUUCGCAGAGCUCUGGGCCGCGUGAACGAAUGGGUCGUCCUGGCCCAUACUUGUGUUUCAGAUGACCUGAGAAUUCCUCUCAAGAGUACAGGUAGAGGGGAACUGGUUCCUUGCUUCGGGAACUUCACCCGAGAGCGCAGAAAUCCUUCCCGAGGCAGGAAAAAUGGAUUCCGUUCCAUGUAGAGAUAUUUAAGAUUUUAUUGUGUAAAAAUCUGUAUUCAGCGUGAACACCGGGGCCACCUACGCACAAAAAGAAGUCUUUACCGCUUUUCUUUCUUUUUACUCUCAGCCAGUGGAAGAUGAGAAUUUGCCGUUUUUAAAAGACCCAAGUAAAAUGACAGGAAUUACGGCACAUUUCCCUUUAUAAGCAAGAGCCUUCCCAACUUCGAGGUCUGGUUCCCUCUUAGGAUGAAAUAUAGUAAAGUUUUAGCCCAAUGUGUAUUCAUUCUUAAAUUUCCUCUCUCGACCUAAGAGCGUAGGCAUCUUUCACAAGGUGAUGCUUGUGAAGAAUAAAAAGGUGUGCUUUCUCAGCUGCCUAAAUCCUGCCACCAAAGCCUUAAUUUAUAAGCAUUUCUUGUUUUAUCUACUUCAUUCUGGACUGACAUAAAGGAUUUGAUUCUUGCAUGGGCACACAUUUACAUAUCUGCUUUGCGCCAGGCAUGGAGUGGGGUGCCAAACAAUUUAUGUAAAACUGUCUUUUGACAAAAGGAUUAUGUCAAAGAAAAGGAAGGUUCUAAUCCGUGUAGAAACUAAAGAAUUGGUUGCUUUGGCAGAGUGCAGUGGCCCACGCCUGUAAUCCCAGCACUGUGAGAGGCUGAGGUGGGGGGGAUUGCCUGGGCUCAGGAGUUCAAGACCAACCUGAGCAACAUAGGAAAAUCCUGUCUCUACAAAAAAUAAAAAAUUAGCCGGGAGUAGUGGCGUGCACCUGUAGUCCCAGCUACUCAGGAGCCUGAAGUGGGAGGAUCACUUGAGUCCAGGAGGUUGAGGCUGCAGUGAGCCAUGAUUGCACCACUGCACUCCAGCCUGCGUAACAGAGCAAGACCUUGUCUCAAAAAACAAAA